GGAUGUGAAGGCGAUCUGGCUGCAACACCUGUCACCCCAUUGAUCGCCAGGGUUGAUUCGGCUGGCUAGGCAGGUACCCCCUUCCUUCCUCACUGCUCCAUGUGUGCCCCUCCUGAAGCUGCGCGCUGGGUCGAAGAGGACAACCUUCCUGGAAUAGAGGAGGACCUGUCUUCGGUCAAGGGUGUAUGAUUAGCUGUGCUCCCCUGCUAGAACCUCCAAAGAAGCUCUCAAGAAUGGGCUCAAAUAGUCCAGUGACUCAUCCUAACAUUUGACAAGGUUUCCAAAUAAAGCUUGGAAUUGUCAUGCCAGAAUCAAGAUGAGACUCGGAUUGUUACUAUCAGCUCUUUUU
rnacentral:snRNA from 1 species